rnacentral:tRNA from 1 species
GCUUCUUUAGUUUAAUAUUAAAAAUUUGGCUUUGAUGAUGCUUAGAUUUUAGGGGUA